UAACUAUGCAUAAUUUUUGUGACAACUGUACAUCCGUAAAAUGACAACUAUAAUGACAUAAAUGUGACAACUAGGAACGACGAAAAAAUAUCAACGAAACAUGUCAACAUGGGAUCUUAUUUUAAAGGUCUCGUCGAGACGAACCUAACGGUGAAGACGAAUCUUUAAUCAAAUUAUUAAUCUAUAAGAUAAAUCAUUUUUAAAAUUCAAAAAAGCAUUUAAUGCGAUGAUGUUAUCAUGGGAUAGAAGGUUUUUGCAUGCGCGUGUAAGCCGCCGCAUGGAAGUGAUGUGAUGCGGCGCUUCUCCUUAGAUUUUCCC
rnacentral:lncRNA from 1 species